GAUGAACGCUGGCGGCGUGCUUAAGACAUGCAAGUCGAACGAAGAGAUUGUAGCAAUACGGUCUCUGAGUGGCGAAUGGGUGCGUAACACGUAGGUGACCUGCCCCGAAGUGUGGAAUAACAGUCCGAAAGGACUGCUAAUACCGCAUGUGGUCCCGGGUUUUAGAAAGCCGGGUCCAAAGUUUCCUUCGGGAGACGCUUCGGGAGGGGCCUGCGGCCCAUCAGCUCGUUGGUAGGGUAACGGCCUACCAAGGCAACGACGGGUAGGGGACCUGAGAGGGUGGCCCCCCACAUUGGCACUGACACACGGGCCAAACUCCUACGGGAGGCAGCAGUCGGGAAUAUUGCACAAUGGGCGAAAGCCUGAUGCAGCAACGCCGCGUGAGCGAUGAAGGCCUUCGGGUCGUAAAGCUCUUUUCGGGAGGAUGAGGAAGGACAGUACUCCCGGAAUAAGUCACGGCUAACUACGUGCCAGCAGCCGCGGUAAAACGUAGGUGGCGAGCGUUAUCCGGAUUUACUGGGCGUAAAGCGCGUUUAGGCGGUUUGGCAAGUCGGGCAUGAAAUCUCCUGGCUCAACCAGGAGGGGCUGUCCGAUACUUCCAGACUUGAGGGCAGUAGAGGAGGGUGGAAUUCCGGGUGUAGUGGUGAAAUGCGUAGAUAUCCGGAGGAACACCAGUGGCGAAAGCGGCCCUCUGGGCUGCUCCUGACGCUCAAACGCGAAAGCUAGGGGAGCGAACGGGAUUAGAAACCCCGGUAGUCCUAGCCGUAAACGAUGUUGACUGGGUGUCAGCGGUCUAAACCCCGCUGGUGCCGUAGCAAACGCGUUAAGUCAACCGCCUAGGGACUACGGCCGCAAGGUUAAAACUCAAAGGAAUUGACGGGGACCCGCACAAGCAGCGGAGCGUGUGGUUUAAUUCGAGGCUACGCGAAGAACCUUACCAGGGUUUGACAUGCACGUAGUAGUGAAGCGAAAGCAGAACGACCCUUCGGGGAGCGUGCACAGGUGAUGCAUGGCUGUCGUCAGCUCGUGCCGUGAGGUGUUUGGUUAAGUCCACUAACGAGCGCAACCCUUAUCGUCAGUUACAUGUGUCUGACGAGACUGCCGGUAUUAAGCCGGAGGAAGGUGGGGAUGACGUCAAGUCAGCAUGUCCUUUAUAUCCUGGGCUACACACACGCUACAAUGGCCAGUACAAUGGGGCGCCAAGCCGCGAGGCGGAGCCAAUCCUAUAAAGCUGGUCUCAGUUCGGAUCGCAGGCUGCAACCCGCCUGCGUGAAGUCGGAGUUGCUAGUAAACGCAGGACAGCUAUACUGCGUUGAAUACGUUCCC
rnacentral:rRNA from 1 species